GACAGUUCGGUCCCUAUCUGUCGUGGGCGCAGGAAAUUUGAGAGGAGCUGUCCUUAGUACGAGAGGACCGGGAUGGACGUACCGCUGGUGCAUCAGUUGUUCCGCCAGGAGCAUGGCUGAGUAGCUACGUACGGACGGGAUAAGCGCUGAAAGCAUCUAAGCGUGAAGCCCCCCUCAAGAUGAGAUUUCCCAGUAUGUAAGACCCCUUGAAGACGACGAGGUAGAUAGGUUGGAGGUGGAAGCACGGCAACGUGUGGAGCUGACCAAUACUAAUCGGUCGAGGGCUUAUCCAAA
rnacentral:rRNA from 2 species